rnacentral:rRNA from 1 species
GACGAACGCUGGCGGCGUGCCUAAUACAUGCAAGUCGAGCGAAGUUUUUCUGGUGCUUGCACUAGAAAAACUUAGCGGCGAACGGGUGAGUAACACGUAAAGAACCUGCCUCAUAGACUGGGACAACUAUUGGAAACGAUAGCUAAUACCGGAUAACAGUAUUUCUCGCAUGAGGGAUAUUUAAAAGUUGGUUAUGCUAACACUAUGAGAUGGCUUUGCGGUGCAUUAGCUAGUUGGUGGGGUAAAGGCCCACCAAGGCGACGAUGCAUAGCCGACCUGAGAGGGUGAUCGGCCACACUGGGACUGAGACACGGCCCAGACUCCUACGGGAGGCAGCAGUAGGGAAUCUUCCGCAAUGGGCGAAAGCCUGACGGAGCAACGCCGCGUGAGUGAAGAAGGAUUUCGGUUCGUAAAGCUCUGUUGUUAGGGAAGAAUGGAUAUGUAGUAACUAUACAUGUACGAGACG